rnacentral:rRNA from 1 species
CCUACGGGGGGCAGCAGUGAGGAAUAUUGGUCAAUGGACGAGAGUCUGAACCAGCCAAGUAGCGUGAAGGAUGACUGCCCUAUGGGUUGUAAACUUCUUUUAUAAAGGAAUAAAACGAGGCACGUGUGCCUUUUUGCAUGUACUUUAUGAAUAAGGAUCGGCUAACUCCGUGCCAGCAGCCGCGGUAAUACGGAGGAUCCGAGCGUUAUCCGGAUUUAUUGGGUUUAAAGGGAGCGUAGAUGGGUUGUUAAGUCAGUUGUGAAAGUUUGGGGCUCAACCGUAAAAUUGCAAUUGAUACUGGCAGUCGUGAGUACAGUUGAGGUAGGCGGAAUUCGUGGUGUAGCGGUGAAAUGCUUAGAUAUCACGAAGAACCCCGAUUGCGAAGGCAGCUUACUAAACUGUGACUGACAUUGAUGCUCGAAAGUGUGGGUAUCAAACAGGAUUAGAUACCCCAGUAGUC